rnacentral:rRNA from 1 species
AUUGACGCUGGCGGCAGACCUGACACAUGCAAGUCGAGCGGCAGCACAGAGAAACUUGUUUCUCGGGUGGCGAGCGGCGGACGGGUGAGUAAUGCCUGGGAAAUUGCCCUGAUGUGGGGGAUAACCAUUGGAAACGAUGGCUAAUACCGCAUAAUAGCUUCGGCUCAAAGAGGGGGACCUUCGGGCCUCUCGCGUCAGGAUAUGCCCAGGUGGGAUUAGCUAGUUGGUGAGGUAAUGGCUCACCAAGGCGACGAUCCCUAGCUGGUCUGAGAGGAUGAUCAGCCACACUGGAACUGAGACACGGUCCAGACUCCUACGGGAGGCAGCAGUGGGGAAUAUUGCACAAUGGGCGCAAGCCUGAUGCAGCCAUGCCGCGUGUGUGAAGAAGGCCUUCGGGUUGUAAAGCACUUUCAGUCGUGAGGAAGGUGGUGUUGUUAAUAGCAGCAUCAUUUGACGUUAGCGACAGAAGAAGCACCGGCUAACUCCGUGC